rnacentral:rRNA from 1 species
GACGAACGCUGGCGGCGUGCUUAACACAUGCAAGUCGAACGGAAAGGCCUGCUUUCCCUUGUGGUUUGCGGGUACUCGAGUGGCGAACGGGUGAGUAACACGUGAGUGAUCUGCCCCCAACUUGGGUAUAAGCCUGGGAAACUGGGUCUAAUUCCCGAUAGGACUGCAGGGUGGUGCCUGUGGUGGAACACGAUUUUCUAGUGGUUGGGGAUGAGCUCGCGGCCUAUCAGCUUGUUGGUGGGGUAAUGGCCUACCAAGGCGGCGACGGGUAGCCGGCCUGAGAGGGUGGACGGCCACAGUGGGACUGGGACACGGCCCAGACUGCUACGGGAGGCAGCAGUGGGGAAUAUUGCACAAUGAGCGGAAGCCUGAUGCAGCGACGCCGCGUGGGGGAUGACGGCCUUCGGGUUGUAAACUCCUUUCGACCGCGAGGAAGCCACCUGGUUGGAAGGGUGGUGACGGUAGUGGUAGAAGAAGCACCGGCUAACUACGUG